CCUUCUUCACCCUUUUUCCUUAGGUGAACCUGCGGAAGGAUCAUUAUUGUAUAACCGAGGUGCGAGGGCUGUCGCUGACCCGAAAGGUCGUGCACGCCCGAGUGCCCUCACACACAUCCAUCUCACCCCUAUGUGCACCACCGCGUGGGUCCCCCUUUGGCUUGUUCGGAGGGGGGCUUACGUUUUCACACAAACUUUGUAUGCAGUGUAGAAUGUAUUUUUUGUUUUUGCGAUCACGCAAUCAAUACAACUUUCAACAACGGAUCUCUUGGCUCUC
rnacentral:misc_RNA from 1 species